CUUCCCUCCCGAGGCCCCCACCUCGCCACCGCCUCCCAUUGUCCCGUCGCCCUCGAAACUCUCCCAGAGACGGGCGAGUUGUCCACCUGUGCAGGUCUGAACUGACUUCCUGUGCCAGGGCCUCGCCUGAGCGGGGGCAGGAAGCUCACCCUUGCAGGUCUCCCCGCGCCAACGGACGCCCUGAGGCCUGACCCUGGCUGAGGCAGAGCACCCAGCUCCGUGGACCGGGACGGACGGGCUCA
rnacentral:lncRNA from 1 species